rnacentral:rRNA from 1 species
AAACCAACAGGGAUUGCCUCAGUAGCGGCGAGUGAAGCGGCAAGAGCUCAGAUUUGAAAUCGCAGCGCAUGCUGCGAGUUGUAGAUUGCAGGUGGGAGAGUCUGCGUAGGCCGGUGUCGAAGUCCCUUGGAACAGGGCGCCACUGAGGGUGAGAGCCCCGUGCGAUGCCACGCUCUACGUUUUGUACUCCCCUCUGACGAGUCGAGUUGUUUGGGAAUGCAGCUCUAAGUGGAUGGUAAAUUCCAUCUAAGGCUAAAUACUGGCGAGAGACCGAUAGCGAACAAGUACUGUGAAGGAAAGAUGAAAAGCACUUUGAAAAGAGAGUGAAACAGCACGUGAAAUUGUUGAAAGGGAAGGGUAUUGGGCCCGACAUGGGAAUCGCGCACCGCUGCUCCUUGUGGGCGGCGCUCUGGGCUUUUCCUGGGCCAGCAUCGGUUCUUGCUGCAGGAGAAGGGGCUGUGGAAUGUGGCUGCCGCG